rnacentral:tRNA from 1 species
GUAUUUAGUCCAAUAAAGACCGNNNAUUUCGACUCAGUAAAUUUUGGUUUGACCCCAAAAAUAUUUU